rnacentral:rRNA from 1 species
UACGUAGGGGGCGAGCGUUGUCCGGAAUUAUUGGGCGUAAAGAGCGUGUAGGCGGCCAGGUAGGUCUGCUGUGAAAACUCGAGGCUCAACCUCGAGACGUCGGCGGAAACCAUCUGGCUAGAGUCCGGAAGAGGAGAGUGGAAUUCCUGGUGUAGCGGUGAAAUGCGCAGAUAUCAGGAAGAACACCCGUGGCGAAGGCGGCUCUCUGGGACGGUACUGACGCUGAGACGCGAAAGCGUGGGGAGCAAACAGG